UACGGGGGGGGGUAAGCGUUGUUCGGAAUUACUGGGCGUAAAGGGCUCGUAGGCGGCCAACUAAGUCAGACGUGAAAUCCCUCAGCUUAACUGGGGAACUGCGUCUGAUACUGGAUGGCUUGGAUUCGGGAGAGGAAUGCGGAAUUCCAGGUGUAGCGGUGAAAUGCGUAGAUAUCUGGAGGAACACCGGUGGCGAAGGCGGCUCACUGGUCCGGUACUGACGCUGAGGUGCGAAAGCGUGGGGGAGCAAACAGG
rnacentral:rRNA from 1 species